rnacentral:ncRNA from 1 species
UAGAGUGAGUUUCAGGCUUGCGAAAAAUAAUAUCAGUCCAAUACUCAAUUCAAAAUCAAAGACUGAAGAUUCCUUGUUGAUUGAAAUUAUUCUUCAUGAUAUUCCUGAAUCUCUAACUUUUUGGAGCUAAUACACCAAAGCUCAAAUUUAAAGGAUGACCGCAUCCAUUAGAAGGAAAAACCUAAUGUGGUUAGUCAAAGAAGUCGUAAUGUAAUUGGUAAAUUUACAAAGCCAUAGCUGGUUGCAUGGUCUUGUGCAGUGACACAUUUUACAAGUAUCUUACCAACUUUCAGUGGUAACUUAUGUUCCUACCAGGUUGUGAUGGAUAAUGAAGAAUACAAGUUCGACUCGGGGAGGGAGCCUGAAAAACGGCAAACACAUUUAAUGAAGGCAGCAGCCACGUAAUUAGCUACUCUAGGCAUGAGGGUGGUGACGAAAAAUAGAAAAAUAAUGAGAACCUUCUCUUCUCUUUGAGGCCAGUUAUUAGUUUAGAUGCAAUUUAAAACGAGGAUCUAUGAUAUGGCAAGUCUUAUAGCAGAAGCUGCAGGAAUUCCAGCUCUAAAA